UCCAGACGAAAAGGAGUGCCAGAUUUGAGUAUUUCAGAUGCCAUUGACAAGGGAAAGGCUCACUGGUAAAUCAAGGACACCUCAGAAGAACCAUCCCCAUUGGAGGGCACCACAGGAACUGGCUGAAGGCUCUAUUGCAACAGUACUACAGUAUCUUUUCUCCCAGUGUACAACCGGAGUCUGACCUCCCUCCCCCACCCAGCGCCCAUUAAAAGUGUCAUUCCUAACCUCACGCCCAAUAAACAAGCUCCACACAAA